GUUGUAUGGUUAAGUGACUAAGCGUACACGGUGGAUGCCUUGGCAGUCUCAGGCGAUGAAAGACGUAGUAACUUGCGAUAAGCCCAGAUUAGGUAGUAACAACCAUUUGAGUCUGGGAUUUCUGAAUGGGGAAACCCACGUGCAUAAGCACGUAUCCUUACCUGAAUACAUAGGGUAAGGAGGCGAACCGGGGGAACUGAAACAUCUAAGUACCCCGAGGAAAAGAAAUCAACCGAGAUUCCGAAAGUAGCGGCGAGCGAAAUUGGACUAGCCCUUAAGCUUUACACGCGUUAGACGAACGGUCUGGAAAGUCCGACGAUACAGGGUGAUAGUCCCGUAGUUGACGACGUGUGUUCAGUGAAAUCGAGUAGGGCGGGACACGUGAUAUCCUGUCUGAAUAUGGGGGGACCAUCCUCCAAGGCUAAAUACUACUGACUGACCGAUAGUGAACCAGUACCGUGAGGGAAAGGCGAAAAGAACCCCUGUGAGGGGAGUGAAAUAGAACCUGAAACCGUGUACGUACAAGCAGUAGGAGCAGGCUUUGUCCUGUGACUGCGUACCUUUUGUAUAAUGGGUCAGCGACUUAUAUUCAGUGGCAAGGUUAACCAUCUAGGGGAGCCGUAGGGAAACCGAGUCUUAACUGGGCGUUCAGUCUCUGGAUAUAGACCCGAAACCAGGUGAUCUAGCCAUGGGCAGGUUGAAGGUUGAGUAACAUCAACUGGAGGACCGAACCGACUAAUGUUGAAAAAUUAGCGGAUGACUUGUGGCUAGGGGUGAAAGGCCAAUCAAACCUGGAGAUAGCUGGUUCUCCCCGAAAGCUAUUUAGGUAGCGCCUCGGACGAAUACUACUGGGGGUAGAGCACUGUUAAGGCUAGGGGGUCAUCCCGACUUACCAACCCUUUGCAAACUCCGAAUACCAGUAAGUACUAUCCGGGAGACACACGGCGGGUGCUAACGUCCGUCGUGGAGAGGGAAACAACCCAGACCGCCAGCUAAGGUCCCAAAUUACUACUAAGUGGGAAACGAUGUGGGAAGGCUCAGACAGCCAGGAUGUUGGCUUAGAAGCAGCCAUCAUU
rnacentral:rRNA from 1 species